rnacentral:rRNA from 1 species
GGAGGGUGCAAGCGUUAUCCGGAUUCACUGGGUUUAAAGGGUGCGUAGGUGGAUUGGUAAGUCAGUGGUGAAAUCUCCGGGCUUAACCCGGAAACUGCCGUUGAUACUAUCAAUCUUGAAUAUCGCGUAGGUAAGCGGAAUAUGUCAUGUAGCGGUGAAAUGCUUAGAUAUGACAUAGAACACCAAUUGCGAAGGCAGCUUACUUCACGAUCAUUGACACUGAGGCACGAAAGCGUGGGGAGCAAACAGGAUUAGAUACCCUGGUAGUCCACGCCCUAAACGAUGGAUACUCGACAUUAGCGAUACACUGUUAGUGUCUGAGCGAAAGCAUUAAGUAUCCCACCUGGGAAGUACGACCGCAAGGUUGAA